CCUGACUGCUUCACUUCUCAAGGAGCCUGGCCCAGACUGGGCUUCUGGUCUCAGAUUUGCAGGGAGGGACCAGAUUUGAAUCUCUUUGAUGAAAAAAUUUGAAGACCAGCUCCUAUUUCUUAGAAUUUAAAGUGGAGUUACAAAUUUAAACUUUGGUGGCUUAGAACUAGCCAUAAACACUGCCUUGGGAGAACCUGAUGUUUUGCACUGAUGACUCAACACUGUGCUGAGUGACAACCUGCAGAUUUAUCCAGGGAGAAUGGAAGGGGACCCCCUGGGAACUUCCUGUGAUUUGGCAUCCUGAACAUCUGGCCAAGGUUCCAGGAGCUCCAGAUCCUUAUUGGACCCUCAUCCCAAAGUAAACCUGGGACGGCUUCUCUGAACUUCAAAGAUGUCAGUCCAUUGUCCUUCUGCCUGCAUGAUUUCUGAUGAGAAGAUUCCUGUGACUUUUGUUCAUCUUCUUCUAUAGGUCUAUGGCCUUGCAUGUUCUCUGGCUGCAGUGUGUGGACCAGCAAGCAUUCCUGCCUCACCUACCAGGGGUAGAGCUUUUUUGGAUUCCUCCUUCCACCAGAGUCCUAAGGUGUGAAAACCAAAGGGAAGGUUCAAUGCACAAUACAUCUUCACUAAAUGCCCGGAAGAAUCUCAAGAAGUCCCACAUGACGGAUGUCCUUAUGAGAAGGGGUGUCCUUUAUAAGACAUCAGGGUUGGUGUGCACAGAGAAAGGCUAUGUGAGGACACAGACAGGAAGCAGCUGGCACCAACUCAAGAAGAGAGACCUUGUGAGAAAUCAGACCUGCCCAAGUCCUUGAUCUUGGUGGUCCAGCCUCCAGAAGCUGAGAAAAAAAAUUCUGGUGUUUAAACCAUGCAGUCUGGGGUAGUUUGUUACGGCUGCCCGAAUGCACAGAAGCGAUCCUCAAGGCCAGCAACAUGGCAUCUGUCAGACCAUUUUCUCCUCAUCCCAGUCUCUCUCAGGCACAAAAGUUUUCUGCUGUAAAGGACUUCAGCUGCUGCACCACCAAAGUUCUUCUGCUUCUAGAGGAUGUAAUAAUAGUUCAUGGCUCAUUUGAAAUCGAGUUGGCACAAAGCAAAGCUCUAUGGCAGGAGCCAAAUGUGGUGUCCCGGGUGGCAUCUGGUAGUUUGAGAGCCACAGCAAAGACGUCAGGGACUGGAGGGCCCCAGGGGCUUUCCCCCAGGAGCUCAGCCUAAGCAGAAGGAAAGGAAUGUGAACUCAGAGGGUUGUGGGGUUUGCGCUAGAAAAAUUUGGAUUUACAUUCUGUUAUUUCUGCUGUCAAAUUCCUAAAAUGCAUAAAUAUCUUUGCAGUCACUCUAUGAGAAUUCUCUGUGUGGGAUCAGAUUAUUAUUAUUAUUAUUUGCAAAUCUAGAGAAAACAGCAGUGAUAGAAGUUUAGCAAAUAUUUCUAUCACCCUAAGUGGAUUAAACAAUUAGUAAGAGGUGAGGGAAGUGCUUUGGCUAGGGCAAGAAAGGGGAACAAU